rnacentral:rRNA from 1 species
GACGAACGCUGUCGGCGUGCUUAACACAUGCAAGUCGAACGGAAAGGCCCUGCUUUUGUGGGGUGCUCGAGUGGCGAACGGGUGAGUAACACGUGAGUAACCUGCCCUUGACUUUGGGAUAACUUCAGGAAACUGGGGCUAAUACCGGAUAGGAGCUCCUGCUGCAUGGUGGGGGUUGGAAAGUUUCGGCGGUUGGGGAUGGACUCGCGGCUUAUCAGCUUGUUGGUGGGGUAGUGGCUUACCAAGGCUUUGACGGGUAGCCGGCCUGAGAGGGUGACCGGCCACAUUGGGACUGAGAUACGGCCCAGACUCCUACGGGAGGCAGCAGUGGGGAAUAUUGCACAAUGGGCGGAAGCCUGAUGCAGCAACGCCGCGUGCGGGAUGACGGCCUUCGGGUUGUAAACCGCUUUCGCCUGUGACGCAGCGUGAGUGACGGUAAUGGGUAAAGAAGCACCGGCUAACUACGUGCCAGCAGCCGCGGUGAUACGUAGGGUGCGAGCGUUGUCCGGAUUUAUUGGGCGUAAAGGGCUCGUAGGUGGUUGAUCGCGUCGGAAGUGUAAUCUUGGGGCUUAACCCUGAGCGUGCUUUCGAUACGGGUUGACUUGAGGAAGGUAGGGGAGAAUGGAAUUCCUGGUGGAGCGGUGGAAUGCGCAGAUAUCAGGAGGAACACCAGUGGCGAAGGCGGUUCUCUGGGCCUUUCCUGACGCUGAGGAGCGAAAGCGUGGGGAGCGAACAGGCUUAGAUACCCUGGUAGUCCACGCUGUAAACGGUGGGUACUAGGUGUGGGGUCCAUUCCACGGGUUCCGUGCCGUAGCUAACGCUUUAAGUACCCCGCCUGGGGAGUACGGCCGCAAGGCUAAAACUCAAAGGAAUUGACGGGGCCCCGCACAAGCGGCGGAGCAUGCGGAUUAAUUCGAUGCAACGCGUAGAACCUUACCUGGGUUUGACAUGGAUCGGGAGUGCUCAGAGAUGGGUGUGCCUCUUUUGGGGUCGGUUCACAGGUGGUGCAUGCCUGUCGUCAGCUCGUGUCGUGAGAUGUUGGGUUAAGUCCCGCAACGAGCGCAACCCUUGUUCACUGUUGCCAGCACGUUAUGGUGGGGACUCAGUGGAGACCGCCGGGGUCAACUCGGAGGAAGGUGGGGAUGACGUCAAGUCAUCAUGCCCCUUAUGUCCAGGGCUUCACGCAUGCUACAAUGGCUGGUACAGAGAGUGGCGAGCCUGUGAGGGUGAGCGAAUCUCGGAAAGCCGGUCUCAGUUCGGAUUGGGGUCUGCAACUCGACCUCAUGAAGUCGGAGUCGCUAGUAAUCGCAGAUCAGCAACGCUGCGGUGAAUACGUUCCCGGGGCU